rnacentral:lncRNA from 1 species
UGUUAAGUGUCUUAUCUAAUGCACUUCCUCCAAAGUGUGAUGUCACCAUCAUCUCGGGAUUUUACUCUGGAUGGAGACGCCAUCUUGUUACAAAGAUCUCCCUCACCGGCCCACUUGGACAGACAUGCGGCUGGGGAGGGAGAGGACCCGGCGGAGCUCUAUCUUGCAGCUCCGCCAGGUUCCUCCCGGAGGCUAGACCGGGAUGGUGUCUGAG